AAUAUUCUUUGUCAGUUAACUAUGUAAAUAUUCAUAAACCUUAAUGGAUAUUUUAGUAAAAGUAUAGGAAUAAAAGAAUUAAAAAAAAUUUAAAUUUGAAAAAUUAAGGGAAAAUGAGAAGUAGUAUAAAGGACCUUAUUGAGUAGUAAAAGAAAAUUAAUAGCAUUAAUAAGAGUAACACAAGGAAACAAAGAAGAAAAAAAUACAGAUCAAAGUAAAGGAAAAGAAGAAAAAAAAUUAAAAGGAGAGAAAACAAAACAAAACAAAACACCAACCUUCCCGUAUGAUUAGUGAAGGAAAAGAAAACUCCUGCAUUCUCCCACCACCCCCAUUUUCCUGUAUCUUUAAUUGAAAGGUUUCUCUCCAGGAUGUGCAGUCUCGGAAUGCAGCAAAUCACAGUUUUUGCUGUCUGUCUUUGCACCUGUGGAUUUGUUCCAGAUGCCCUGUUAUCUCUGUACCCAACUGUGGCAACCAUCCCACCUGAGUGCUUGGAUUGAUGAUGUCAGUGCUCCACCCACAUAGAGGUGGAGCCAGAAUGUGAUGUAAUGGCAUGAAGAAGGUGUGUCUUGCUCUUUGCUGGUUCCUGCUUGCUGUUUGCAGCCGCCAUGAACUGCAGCCCAGCCAUGCCCACCUGCCUUGGAGCCAACUGAGUGUGGACUGAAACCUCCAAAAACUCUGAAUGUGCAUUUAAGAAGCAAAGCCUGCUUGGAAGAAGUGAGUCCCUGGGGGUGUGCACAGUACCACAGGAGACACGUCUCUGCUGGCCCUCUUUCCCUGUACUCUGCUUCUCAACUGCCAUGAAGUGAGCAGCUUGCUCUACAAUAUCCUUAUCACAUGACGCGUCUGCUUUGGAGAUAGCUGGCAAUCUCCAACCUCUGAAACCCUGAGCCAAAAGAAACUUCUGCUUCUUAAGUUGCAAGUAUCAGUUGUUUCAUCUCAGCAACUGGAAAAUUGAUGAAUAAACACACACAAAAGAAACUGUAAGGUGCAUAUUUUAAAAGAUGAAUUUAGAAACUAUUCUGUUACUAAUUCUAACUACUGACUGUUAUUAAAUCAGUCAUUCUUUAAUUUAACUGACAUUUACUGAUAAUCCAGUAGGAACCAGGUACUGUGCAAGGAGCGGAACCCUAAGAGUGUACGUGAUCUCAUAGUGUCCCUUUAAUAAUUUAAAAGUAAUUCAAAGGGGAGAAGCAAGCUAAUAAAAGCAAAGUCAUUAAUGUUUUACUGUGAUCUGAUUUUUGCAACUGGUUGAAUUGUAUUCUAUAUUUCAACUAAAGACACACACACACACACACACACACACACACACACACACAAAGCAGUCUGCAUUUCUGGGAGAAUUUAUGCUCAGUAAAGAAAAUUAAAAUGGCAGCUUCCAUGAUUUAUAAUUAAUAGCUUUAGAUCUUUUGAGUUUGUAUCAUUCAUGCAUUGAUAAUAUGGUGUUUAAGUACAUUAUAUGCAACAGUUUAAAAAUAUAUAAGGUAAAAAUGUUCCAGCUAAUGCACAAUUUAUUCAGACAAAUUAUUCAGACAAAUUAAGAAAAAGAAUAACAGUGACAACAAAGCAAUCUUUUGGAGAAAAAAUGAGGUUAGAAAGGAGGACCGGGCACGGCCAGUGUCUGGUGAAGCCUGGGAUAGAACAGCUGCACUUUAAAUGACUAAAGUGACUUUUUGCACAAGGAUAGUGAACAAUUUAAGGAUCAAAUUAUGCAGAAAUGCAGUGAAAGAGAUUUCCUUUUUUUUGGUAUCGGGGACGAAUUCAUGGCUACGCGCUUGCAAGGCAGGUGCUUAUGCCGCUGAGCUAAAUCCCCAACCCCAAAAGAGAUUAUUAAGCAGAACAAAUAGCUAAUUGAAAAAAUCCCUGUGUUAGGGCCACUUUAUCUGUUUAGGCCAAUGACGCUAAAACAGAAGAAGCAAGAUAUGGGUAAAGUCAGGGAACAGGUGAACGGCUGAAUUGUGCAUGGCCUUAUUGGCCAUCAUGGGUAUUUCUGCAUUAGUCUGACAGCCAAGAGACAAGAUAACACUGACAAAUUCUGAGGAGAAAAACAAAAUGCUUAUCAUGGAAAGAUACUAACCAGUUUUUGGGAUGGAGAGCAUUAAGCACAGGGAGAAAAAUCUAAGGUGGGGCACUAAGUGUUAACUGGGUCUUUGUGUAAGUGACUUUGUUUUUCUCCUUUGGAAUGUUUAGAAUCUUUCAUGAAAUGUGCUAUUUUUUCUUGUCACUAAAUCACAGAGCUGGGCUCUGCUACUCCAAGACUAUGUUUAAAUUUGAUUAUAAGACACUAGUAGAUAUGAUGGCUGUAAUAACAUCCUAUCACUGUUAAACAUAAAAGUUGAUGAUAAUUACCACCUCAUUCUCUACAAAACAUGUUUUUGUUGCUUCUGCCGUUAGGAAGGCAAAUGUAUUAGAUUUUGGACAUCACAAUCAAACAUUUUUUUUUGAGUGGUUUUGAAUAUCUUCUGGUCUAUGAUUUGGUAAAGAAAUUAUGCGUAUAGUUUCAUGUCUUAACUCAUGUAUCUAGAAGAUAUAUUUUAGAAAUGGUUAAUCUUGACUAUGUUAAUGUUCAUUUUUAUCUUGUUUUCUGUCAUAAGUGAAUAUGGGUAUAUACAUAAAAAUACAUAUAUGUAAAACAAAGCAUUGAUCCUAGUAAUCUUCUGUUAAAAUUCAAAUAUACAAUUUCAGUUGUUAACAUUAUCAGUGAACAAGGAGAUAGAAUUUUAGGUAUUCAUAAAUGCAUGUCAAUGACACCUGAGAAGGGGAAAUAGGUACUACUAUAGGUUCUCAGAGGAAAUACUUUUGAACUCAAAAGAAUUCUAUACUUGCUUGACCCAGUCUUGAGUUAUCUUCUAUUUUGCCAAAAGAAAUAAGAAGUAAAUGUAAUUAGAGACAAUGAAGAAAAACUUUAAAUAAGAUUUUUACAUUAUUAUCCAUCUGAUAUACCAGGCAAACAAUUUGGAAUUCCAAGGUUACAGAAUCUAAAAUACAAAUAGAAAAUUUAAUGUCUUGUGUUUAUGCAUCUAUGUCAGAGAUCAGGGAAAUAUCAACAUUAUUUCUCUUAUGACUGGAAAUAGCCUCAAAUUUUUCUGGAGAAACAAAAUAAAUGAGGAAAAACACUUCAACCAGCUACCACUGAUUACAGCAAACUUAGUACUGAAAUCCGUUAUCUUUGAUCUAAAUCCUGAUUUUUCAACAUUGACACUGCUUACUUUAUAAGUCAGUUUAUUCUUUGUUGUGAAACCUACUGUAUUUAUUGUAGGAUGUUCUGUGGUGUCUUCCCAUACCACCAGUGGUAAGUACUCCUCCCGUACUCAAUUCCGUGUGACGGUAGCUAAAAUCUCUUUAGAUCUGUCCUUGGUUGAAAGCACUGUUUUAAAGAUAGGUAUGUCUCAGGAGAAAGCCUAGAAAAAAAGUCCCUAAAUUCACCUUUAUGCAAGUUAUAUUAGUUUUCUUAAUCCAGGGAUCAUGUAUCUCAGUUUUUGACUAAUGGAGCCUAAUGAGGUACUGAAUAAAAGAUACUUGGAUAUGAAAAACAGUUGCCACUUUAACAAAGGCUCAGGCUAGUGAUAUUUACGUAAUGUGUGGGUCUUUUGGAUUGGGUGAUGGCAUAUAAUUUUACAGAGCUCCACUUGUAUACCAAUGUCCAUUUAUGGACAUUGUAUCUACAUACCUAUAGUGUCUAUCUCUAGAUAGAUCUUUUCUUUUACAAUGUGUGUGUGUGUGUGUGUGUGUGUGUGUGUGUGUGUCUUUUUCUGAACAGUGUCUCACUAUACAGUUUGGAUUAACCUUGAGCUCAUUUUGUAGCUCACGAUGGUCUUGAACUUGCAAAGAUCCUCCUGCCUUGGCUUUCCAAGUGCUGAAAUUACAGCCAUGGGCCACCAUGCCUGGUGCGACAGAUCUUUACUUUGCUGACUUGAUUUUUAACUUAAACCAUAUAUGUAGUUUCAAAGUUUAAUGUUUUGUAAAGAAAAACUCAACAGAAACUAACAGUAUUUACAAAUCUUAGAAUAUGCUAGAGGUCAAAAGAAAAGAAAAACAUUGAAAUCUAUACAAAUAACGUUGCCUUUUGUUUCAGUUCUUCACUCCCCCCAGUUUAGGAAUAUCUGCUAUUGGGAAAGCUGAAGUCUAACAAAGAAAUGCUCAGAACAAGGUUUCAAUGGAACUUAUAUUUAUCCUCAUUUCAAGAGCCACAUGAUUCUCCCAAAUAUGUAGCUGCUUAUGCAAUCAAUGGUAGUUAGUAUUAAGAAAUUUAUAAUGGGAGAAAAAUUGAAAUUUACUUAAUAGUUUUUAUUAUUUUAGUAACCAUGGUGAUAAAAGACCAAUAUAGCCCUUUAAAAUAGCAUUCAGAGAACUUGGGAGAAAAUUUUAUUUAUUGAGAUGCUUGGUACAUGUAAUAUUGCUGUAUUUGGAUACCAACAUUUUGUUGCUAAUGAGUUUGAAUUUUAACAAGUUGGCAAUUUCCUUUUUCACCUUCAUUUUUCUUUCCAAAACCAUGGGCAGCUCUCUCCCCCCACAAAAAAAGGUAAACGAUUUUACAAAAUGUAGUAGUUCUAAAAAUGGAAAUUCUGCUAAGCAUGGUGGUGCACACCUGUAAUUCUAGCAGUCAUUAGGCUGAGGCCGGAGAAUUGCUGUGAGUUCAAGGCCAGUGAAACUCUCUCUCAAACGGGGAUGGGGUGGGAGGAAAUUCCAAAUAAGUGUUACAGAAAAAGGAGCAAAAAUUAGUUAAUUACCUAAGUAUGUAGAAUUAAAUCAAAUUUGUUUAACUCCUUGAUAAUAAGAAGAUAAAACCCAUAAGACCAUCAAACUGUUUUUGAUACAUUUUAUAAAAUAUAUCAUAAAUACCACAUUAUAUAUUUUAUUACCAAAAUAUUUUGUAAACUUCUUUUGCCUAAAAAUGCUUAAAAAAAGAGAAACAUCACUUUGAAGGAUUCUCCUAUGCUUUUAUAUAUCGGGAAUAUUCAGUUGAGGAAUUUCUCACUAAGAAAAAAUUGUCCCCAGAUUUCUGUUAUUUAAAUGAGGCUGCUUCCCAGGAUUUCACCUGGCAUAAAACUCAGGGAUUUGUGAAGUGAAAAAUCACAAUGCACACUAUGUGACUUCAAAGUGUUUCAAUUAAUAUCUAAUAAAUACACUGUGUGUGUAGACAUGUUUUACAUUGUAUUUAAGUUGCUUUCUCAAGACUAUUUCAACUUCAGAAAAUUUCUAUGAAACAGUAUAUAUGUUUUCCACUAUGUAUGUAAAUAGAAGAAAUAGGUACAAAAAUAAAGUUCACAGAUGAAACUGGCAUAGGGGAAACUAAAACUGGGUUUCUGACUCAGCUCUUUUUCUCUAUGUGACUCUGAGCUCUCUGUCUGUCUCUCUGCC